rnacentral:rRNA from 1 species
UCCCAAACCCCUGUGAACAUACCAAUUGUUGCCUCGGCGGAUCAGCCCGCUCCCGGUAAAACGGGACGGCCCGCCAGAGGACCCCUAAACUCUGUUUCUAUAUGUAACUUCUGAGUAAAACCAUAAAUAAAUCAAAACUUUCAACAACGGAUCUCUUGGUUCUGGCAUCGAUGAAGAACGCAGCAAAAUGCGAUAAGUAAUGUGAAUUGCAGAAUUCAGUGAAUCAUCGAAUCUUUGAACGCACAUUGCGCCCGCCAGUAUUCUGGCGGGCAUGCCUGUUCGAGCGUCAUUUCAACCCUCAAGCCCUCGGGUUUGGUGUUGGGGAUCGGCGAGCCCUUGCGGCAAGCCGGCCCCGAAAUAUAGUGGCGGUCUCGCUGCAGCUUCCAUUGCGUAGUAGUAAAACCCUCGCAACUGGUACGCGGCGCGGCCAAGCCGUUAAACCCCCAACUUCUGAAUGUUGACCUCGGAUCAGGUAGGAAUACCCGCUGAACUUAAGCAUAUCAAUAAGCGGAGGAAAAGAAACCAACAGGGAUUGCCCUAGUAACGGCGAGUGAAGCGGCAACAGCUCAAAUUUGAAAUCUGGCUCUCGGGCCCGAGUUGUAAUUUGUAGAGGAUACUUUUGAUGCGGUGCCUUCCGAGUUCCCUGGAACGGGAUGCCAUAGAGGGUGAGAGCCCCGUCUGGUUGGAUGCCAAAUCUCUGUAAAGUUCCUUCGACGAGUCGAGUAGUUUGGGAAUGCUGCUCUAAAUGGGAGGUAUAUGUCUUCUAAAGCUAAAUACCGGCCAGAGACCGAUAGCGCACAAGUAGAGUGAUCGAAAGAUGAAAAGCACUUUGAAAAGAGAGUUAAAAAGUACGUGAAAUUGUUGAAAGGGAAGCGUUUAUGACCAGACUUGGGCUUGGUUGAUCAUCUGGGGUUCUCCCCAGUGCACUCUUCCAGUCCAGGCCAGCAUCAGUUUUCCCCGGGGGAUAAAGACUUCGGGAAUGUGGCUCUCUUCGGGGAGUGUUAUAGCCCGUUGUGUAAUACCCUGGGGGGGA